rnacentral:tRNA from 1 species
GAUGAGGUGGCCGAGAGGUUAAGGCGAUGGACUGCUAAUCCAUUGUGCUCUGCGCACGUGGGUUCGAGUCCCACCCUCGCG